UACGGAGGAUCCAAGCGUUAUCCGGAUUUAUUGGGUUUAAAGGGUGCGCAGGCGGACUAAUUAGUCAGUGGUGAAAUCUCUCGGCUCAACCGAGAAACUGCCAUUGAUACUGUUAGUCUUGAGUACAGUUGUAGUAGGCGGAAUAUAGCAUGUAGCGGUGAAAUGCUUAGAUAUGCUAUAGAACACCGAUCGCGAAGGCAGCUUACUAAGCUGUAACUGACGCUCAGGCACGAAAGCGUGGGGAGCAAACAGG
rnacentral:rRNA from 1 species